GACGAACGCUGGCGGCGUGCUUAACACAUGCAAGUCGAACGGAAAGGCCCUGCUUUUGUGGGGUGCUCGAGUGGCGAACGGGUGAGUAACACGUGAGUAACCUGCCCUUGACUUUGGGAUAACUUCAGGAAACUGGGGCUAAUACCGGAUAGGAGCUCCUGCUGCAUGGUGGGGGUUGGAAAGUUUCGGCGGUUGGGGAUGGACUCGCGGCUUAUCAGCUUGUUGGUGGGGUAGUGGCUUACCAAGGCUUUGACGGGUAGCCGGCCUGAGAGGGUGGCCGGCCACAUUGGGACUGAGAUACGGCCCAGACUCCUACGGGCGGCAGCAGUGGGGAAUAUUGCACAAUGGGCGGAAGCCUGAUGCAGCAACGCCGCGUGCGGGAUGACGGCCUUCGGGUUGUAAACCGCUUUCGCCUGUGACGAGGCGUGAGUGACGGUAAUGGGUAAAGAAGCACCGGCUAACUACGUG
rnacentral:rRNA from 1 species